CAAGUCCAGACGACAUCCAUAACCGCAGCUCUCUACAGCCAGUAGUAGAGGGCAGCCUCCUGAGGCUAACCUCUGCCGCAUGACACGCUGCAGGCAUGCAUUUGUGUAGUGAACGAUGAUGCCGUCUCCCUUUCAGCUCCAGCCAACGCUACACAUGCCCGAGCCCCACCUGGCUGGGCACUAACUGCCAAAGGCCACUCCCAGACAUAGGCCUGCCCCGCCGCUGAGCCCUUUUGCUGCCCGCAUGGGGAUCAGGGCAUCAAUCCCAGACCCGCUGUCGCUCCACAGAUCGCACAGAAAGGGGUCGAGCAGCUCAGCCACAACGAUGCAUUACUACUAGAAGAAACCCUUUUAAGAAGGGAAACACUGUGAAGACUACCCAGAUAAGGGCACCAGAGACCCAGACCUCCAGAUCAGAUUGGUACAGCAGUGGGCAUCAGUGCCAUCUUCUGACGAACACGCCAUACUGCACCUGGCAGGGGUUUCCUAUAGCCAACCACAGUGGAAAAGCCCUAUUACAUCACCCAGCCCAGCCUUCUGCUCCUAUGGGAAUACUCCCGUCUCACCACGCUCAAACCUCCCAAGUUAAAUUUUAAAAAUAUUUAGGAAAUGGAACUUCAGUCUGUUCCCCAGGGAAACUCUUACACAAGCUGGACAGAUUGCACCGCAGCAAGCCCCAGCCUUCAGCAUUUGGUCCCACGCAAAAACAGGCGUGCCAUUCUCUGUCAUCAUAGAAUAUAGUUUAUUUGUGGCAUUUUACAAAUAACUUUACAGUUCACAUGGACAUAAGUUAUGCUCUUGAUUUCAACAAGUAUUUCUUACAACACCUGAGUUAUUAAAAUACUGAGAUGGAACUUGAGCUUCUAAUCAGACAUGUAAAGGGAAAUAGGGAGAAAACCCCACGCAAACUCAGACAAAUGGCAGUUUCCUCUCUCAUCACCUCCCCCCCCCCCAAAAAAAAAAAAAAAAGAAAAGAAAAAAAGGUUUGGACCAUCCCAUGAGUUAAAAGCAGAUAAUGUCCCCUUCCAGCACCCCUGUAGUGCAUGCAUUGGUUACCUGCAUCCCCCAAAACCUAUUACUACAAGCUUGGAGAAUCUUUUUGAAACGAUAUCACAGGGAACUCUCUAAAAGAAUUUGUGUUUUCAUUAAGAGCUUUGCUUCGUGAGCAACCUCUCUCAAUUUCCAGGUUGCAAGCUUCUGAAUCAACUCAGCUGCCAAGAACACUUGGAAGGGAACUAGACAAAAAAAAAAAAAAA